CGUAACAAGGUUUCCGUAGGUGAACCUGCGGAAGGAUCAUUGUCGAAACCUGCACCUUGCAGAAUUUAAAAAAUAGUUAGGUUAAUUUGUGGCUCUGCGCCCCUCAUUCCCCUGACGCGGACGGGAGGGACUUCAGGAAAAUGCUCGUUCGUCUCUGUCUUCUGAUCAACAACCAACCCCGGCGCAGUACGCGCCAAGGAAUAGAAAAUGAAAAGGGUGUGCUUUUCUUUCGGAAUGCAUUGCCUUCUUUCAAGAAUUAAAAAGACUCUCGGCAACGGAUAUCUCAGCUUUCGUAUUGAUGAAGAACACAGCAAAAUGCGGUACUUGGUUUGAAUUGCAGAAUCCCGUGAAUCAUUGAGUUUUUGAACGCAAGUUGCUCCCGAAGCCAUUCGGCCAAGGGCCCGCCUGCAUGGGUUUCAUGCAUACGUCGCCCCAUCCUCUCGACACCUCAAGAGUCAUGGGAGAAGAAGUUGUCCUCAUGUGUGCCUUUUGCAUGUGGUUGGCCCAAAAUUUAUGUUCGCGGCAAGUGAUAGCCAUGACGAUCGGUGUUUGUAAAUACCCUCUGAAAAAGUCAUGUGCUGUUCUUAACCGUCUGGAAAUUCCUUGACCCUAGGGCGUCCUAAGGGCGCGCUCCGACCGCAACCAUAGGUCAGGCGGGACUACCCACUGAG
rnacentral:rRNA from 1 species